CCGUAGAGUCUCCUAACUUCAACUUAUAUACCUAACAUCGGCUAAAAUUUAAAAAAUUCAAUAUUUUUUUUCCUUUUAAGGAAACACUAAUUGUAGUGAUUUGGGAAGUAUACAUAUUUAAUCAUGGCAACAUUGCAAUGUCAUUUGUCAAAAUAUUGGCGGCCAUUUUGUCACAAUCGUGAGUAACUUCGGAUCACGCACACGCUUCUUUUUUACCGACCCCGAAAAUUUGUGUCAUUACUCAAUACUGCUUGGAGGUAAGUUUUUUAAAUCUUUACUACAGUUUACUCAUAUAAUCCAUUACCAAAAUUAAAAAAAUCAUUCAGAUAUGUUCGUUAACUACAGAAAUAUUAGGGCAGACAAUGUUAGGAUACAAUCUGUAAUGUGAUGUUGUUCAAACUUCGUCUGCCCUUAGGGUCGUCAAAAUUAGAAUAAGAACUUAUGUUUUUUUUUUUGUACUAUACUUAUAUGAAAAAGUACCUGGUCUGUAUUUUUUCUUACUCUAUACCCUCUAUACCUAUUUAAAACUGUUAUGUAUCUGAAUAAUUACCAAAACGUAGAUAUAUUUUGUAUAAAUAACUAUGUAUUUCCUACAUAACAAAAUGUAAAGUAAGUUGAUAAAAGAGUUGAUUUCUGGCGCAUUUAAGGUGUUUUAAAUUGAAUGAUUGACGUUUUCUAAAACGUCAUUGCAAACUGCUUAUUUUACGCCACAGAAAUCGUGCACUGUUAACGAUGAUGAUGAAGAUAUGCCAAAGAUGAAGCCAAAAAAAGUUAUAACACCGGUAAAGAAUCGUCUGUUCGUUGAAGGAAGUUCUGAUGAAGAAGAAGAUAACUACACAGUUCAUGACAGUAGCAGUUCAUGUGGAUCAAACUUUAAUGAAGAUGACAAAGAGAACAGCGAUGGUGAACAGAAAACAGAAUACAUCGAAAUAGAUAAUAAUAUUAUAGAUGAAAACAUAAGAAUAAGUUUUUUUUAUUAGGUACUACGAUUAAAGUGUUUAAUUCAUUCAUCA